CGGGCCACCGGAAGCGGCUGAGGGAUAGCGAGAGGCUGCGACUGUAGGGGUGUGCGGGUGCAGGUCAGGGUUAAGAGACGCAGGCAUGCUGCGUCCCAAGGCUUUGACGCAGGUGCUAAGCCAAGCCAACACUGGAGGAGUCCAAAGCACUCUGUGAGUGAACAACAAGAACCCAAGCAGCGAGCGCUGGAAUGGGGCGAUGCGCGGCUGUCUGCAGUAGGGGCUGCUGAAUAAUGAGGGAUCGCUGCUGGCCUACUCCGGUUAUGGGGACACAGAUGCCCGGGUCACUGCGGCCAUCGCCAGUAACAUCUGGGCCGCGUAUGAUAGGAACGGGAACCAAGCGUUUAAUGAAGACAGUCUCAAAUUUAUCCUGAUGGACUGCAUGGAGGGCCGUGUAGCCAUUACGAGGGUGGCCAACCUUCUGCUAUGUAUGUAUGCCAAGGAGACCGUAGGCUUCGGAAUGCUCAAGGCCAAGGCCCAGGCCUUGGUGCAGUACCUGGAGGAACCCCUCACCCAAGUAGCGGCAUCAUAAUAGCUAGCAUGAUGGAAGCUGGAGUAGAGAAGGGAUGGUGAUGGGAGGGGCGGGGCCUUAGAAACUGUAUUGGGCUAGGUUCAGGAAGGUGGGGGUUGCUUUUUUCUGAAUAAAUUUUCAGCUCUUA